CUACGGGGGGCUGCAGUGAGGAAUAUUUCACAAUGGGGGGAACCCUGAUGCAGCAACGCCGCGUGGAGGAUGACGCAUUUCGGUGUGUAAACUCCUUUUAUAUGUCAAGAAAAUGACGGUAGCAUAUGGAUAAGCACCGGCUAACUCCGUGCCAGCAGCCGCGGUAAUACGGAGGGUGCAAGCGUUACUCGGAAUCACUGGGCGUAAAGGACGCGUAGGCGGGUUGGAAAGUCAGGUGUGAAAUCCUACAGCUUAACUGUAGAACUGCACUUGAAACUUCUAAUCUAGAGUAUGGGAGGGGGAGAUGGAAUUAGUGGUGUAGGGGUAAAAUCCGUAGAUAUCACUAGGAAUACCUAAAGCGAAGGCGAUCUCCUGGAACAUUACUGACGCUAAGGCGUGAAAGCGUGGGGAGCAAACAGGAUUAGAUACCCCGGUAGUC
rnacentral:rRNA from 1 species